AAGUUCUCGUGGCUGUACUCGACUUGCAACACGUGAUGAAAUAUCGACCUUCGAAGUGUCAAGUGUCAACUGUUUUUAACUUCGGAUUAUCCGCAUGGUACGCUGAACAACAGUGUACGCUGUACAGACUACUGGGUUCCGACUAGUACAGUUUGUGCUGGUGGUUCAUCAGGAUUAUUGAUGGAUUUGGCAGCAAAUGAAAAGGCUGUGCAUGCAGAUUUCUUUAAUGAUUUUGAGGAUCUGUACGAUGACGAAGAUCUACAGUGACCAUUAAAUCAAAUGUGCUUAUGUAAUGAAAAACCAAAUUAUGAAGAGUGCAUCACAUUUGUGUGUCUGAAGUUUAAAUGACUGAUACUGUGUUUUCAGAUCUCGUGUUGGUGUUUUUUAGUUAUGUUUAAUUUGUUAAUAAAAAUUUGAUGAAACA